ACUCCAAGAGGCUGCUUGUACAAAUGAGUUAGCUGGCAAGCUUUACACCUUCUGAAAAUUAUUAUAGCUGAAUAACUUGACAUAGUGACCUAGUGUUUACCCCCUACCCAUUAUUAGCAACUGUCUCAGCAAGUGAAGUUAAAAACUGACCAUACUUUAAAAUCUGGUUUAUUGAUGUAAAACUGCCGUUUCUACACAAUCAGCUUUAUUUACAGAAGUAACUACAUACAUUUGGUGCCGAUGCUGGAUAAACUACUCUUCAGUCUGCAUAGAAUUUAGAAACAACAACCCUGAAGACAAAACUCACAAUAUGGCAACAUUUGUUUCUGCACUAAAGUGCUAAAACACUAAAACCUCAUGGUUAUUUUUGUGAAACAGUCCGUUAGAAAUGAAGUGCAAGAAAGAAACUACACAGAGCUGCUCAACUGUAUUUAUAUUUUGCACGGUAAAAAAA